rnacentral:rRNA from 1 species
UCCCUGAAUGUUAGCGGCGGACGGGUGAGUAACACGUGGGUAACCUGCCUGUAAGACUGGGAUAACUCCGGGAAACCGGGGCUAAUACCGGAUGGUUGUUUGAACCGCAUGGUUCAAACAUAAAAGGUGGCUUCGGCUACCACUUACAGAUGGACCCGCGGCGCAUUAGCUAGUUGGUGAGGUAACGGCUCACCAAGGCAACGAUGCGUAGCCGACCUGAGAGGGUGAUCGGCCACACUGGGACUGAGACACGGCCCAGACUCCUACGGGAGGCAGCAGUAGGGAAUCUUCCGCAAUGGACGAAAGUCUGACGGAGCAACGCCGCGUGAGUGAUGAAGGUUUUCGGAUCGUAAAGCUCUGUUGUUAGGGAAGAACAAGUACCGUUCGAAUAGGGCGGUACCUUGACGGUACCUAACCAGAAAGCCACGGCUAACUACGUGCCAGCAGCCGCGGUAAUACGUAGGUGGCAAGCGUUGUCCGGAAUUAUUGGGCGUAAAGGGCUCGCAGGCGGUUUCUUAAGUCUGAUGUGAAAGCCCCCGGCUCAACCGGGGAGGGUCAUUGGAAACUGGGGAACUUGAGUGCAGAAGAGGAGAGUGGAAUUCCACGUGUAGCGGUGAAAUGCGUAGAGAUGUGGAGGAACACCAGUGGCGAAGGCGACUCUCUGGUCUGUAACUGACGCUGAGGAGCGAAAGCGUGGGGAGCGAACAGGAUUAGAUACCCUGGUAGUCCACGCCGUAAACGAUGAGUGCUAAGUGUUAGGGGGUUUCCGCCCCUUAGUGCUGCAGCUAACGCAUUAAGCACUCCGCCUGGGGGAGUACGGUCGCAAGACUGAAACUCAAAGGAAUUGACGGGGGCCCGCACAAGCGGUGGAGCAUGUGGUUUAAUUCGAAG